rnacentral:rRNA from 1 species
AGUAACGGCGAGUGAAGCGGGAAUAGCUCAAAUUUUAAAUCUGGCUGGCGUGGUCAGUCCGAGUUGUAAUUUGAAGAAGCGUCUAUCACGUUUUCGUUCGGGUUCAAGUUCCUUGGAAUAGGACAUCAGAGAGGGUGAGAAUCCCGUCUGUGAUCCGAUCGGUUGCGGUGCGAUAUCGUUUCUAAGAGUCGAGUUGUUUGGGA